ensembl:lncRNA
UGGGGAUAAGAUAAAAGGCCUUUCUCUAGACUGACAGAGCUCGGGCUUCCCAGGUGGCGCUAGUGGUAAAGAACCCGCCUGCCAAUGCAGGAGACAUAGACUGACAGAGAACUAACCUGCUGGCCAGGGUCCACUAGAAACAAAUUUGUUAGCUCCACCCUGAGGGUGGGAAGCUGGGGCCCAAGCUUUUCUCUUCUCUUGCAGCUACUUUCAUCAAUAUUUCCUCUGCAGCUGAACGGGCUGGGAGGCAACCUGCAAUGAGGCCCUGCUCAGAAGACGCCCACCUCUGCUGGACCUCCUGGCUCCUGGGAUUCAUCAGUCUCCUUCUCAUUUCCAGUCCUUUAGGCAUCUGCAGCACUGGGGCCAAGAGUCCUGGUGCACAUGGUUCUGAAGUUCAGGAUCCUGGAGCCCGUGUUCCCCUGCAGGGGAUCCGAGGAAGUCCUGUGUUGUUUCACGUGACCAAGAAGCAAGAAGCUGAACCAGAGGAGGUCUCGUGGGCCUUUGGCCCUGAGUCAAACUACAGUGUCUUGCUGCGAGUCCACCAUGGGGAAUACACUCCAACCUGGGUCAGCCUCCAGGACAAGUACCAGCAGAGGGUCCAUGUGCCCCACAUCCUGUCCCUGAAGAUUGAGAACCUGACCUGUGAGGACAGUGGACAGUACCGGGCUCGAGUCAGCUUCCCUGGAGGAUUAGAACUUACCCAGGUUUUCCUCCUCACUGUCUAUGAGCCCGUGCCCUCUCCCCAGAUUCUGGUGGGAUCAACAUCCAUCACACCAGACUGGUGCAACGUCACCCUGGAGUGCAGAGCCUCUGGGGCCACAGACGAUCUGAACGUGACCUGGGAGAACAAGGGCAUCCCCGGAGAAUGGGAGCAGAGAAGGACAUUAGAACCAGCUUCCAGCCCAUACAUUCUGGCUGUGAGUGUGCCAAGAGGCCAGCCCAAUGCCAGCCUCGUCUGUGUGGUCAGCAACCCGGUGGGAUAUAAAACUGCCUUCUUCAACCUUGGGGGAGUCUGCGUCCAUGAUUCAGCCAAUCUGGUCAUUGCUGAACUCUUGCCAGGCAUCCUUGGGGCAGUUGCGGCUGUGUUAUUGAUCCUCGGAGGUGGACUGUACCUUUGGAAGAUACGUAGGAAGAAGAUGGAGACUGGAAAAGGCAGGUUUCCCUUCUCCUUCCAUGCCCACAAACCUCUCUUUCUCAUUGCAUUCUUGAUAUCCUUUCUCCUACAGUUUGUUCCCUUGAAAUGUCCCUGCAGAGGGUUUAGUAGGUCUGGCCAUGGUCUGUGUCCAUAGCAGUGGGUGAGAGUGCAGAUUUCCAAGGCUCAGAUUCAACCUCCACUCUGCCUGUCUCUCAGGUGCAAGAUCACAAGAUGCUGAUGAUGAUAGCAUCCAGUAUGUAGAGCUGAGCCAGCAGAAAUCUCAAGAGAGCUCAAACAAGGUGAGAGCUGGGCUGUGUGCUCUCCCAGGUCUCUCACUGCCUGGCCUGAGUUUGUCAAAUCUUGUCACUGAUGUUUCUGUUCCUACUGCCUCUUUAACACUUUUCAGACAGUCAACAAUGUUAACUAAGAAAAUUUGCGCUUGGGACCAAUAUAAUGCUGGGCACUUAGGGGAAUUCAUAAGUAUUGCAUGUCAUCCACUGGUUCUUUUCUGAUCCUUCUAGGGCUCCUCUAUCCCUCAGCUGUUUCAGGAACCUUUUGUCUUGCAUUCCCAGGUUAUCAGAGAACAGCAUCUGAAAGAAAGGGUACCUCUCAUUACUAUCUACAGUGAAGUCUGUAAGCCAGGUCAUGCCGUGCAGAUAAUUUAAUUGGAGGAAACAGAAGAACUGACAUUCCCAGGACAACUCCACCAGGAGCUUGAUCCCUGCAGACACCUGCCUCUCACCUCUGGUCCAGUUCCAGCUGCCUUUGGUUUGCUGUACUCUGAUCCUCCUGGCCACCAUUCCCUGGGCCUAUGUGGUCCUACCACUUCCUCUGAUGCCUCUCCAAGCUGUCCUCCCACUAAGGAUCCUCACAGCUGCAGAGCAAGCACUCCUCCUCUGCCAUUGACUCAACUUCUGACCCCUCUCCUCCUGAAGCUUCCCAAAAAGGACCUUCCUGACUGUGUUAAUCCCCAUAGCCUCUGAUGUGUGGUUGGUGUAUGUCUUUCUGAGAACAUGACUCCA